AGGUGAAUCCAGAACUUAUUCCACAGUUUGAAGAAAAAGGUCUAAAGUUUGUUGGACAUGACACUGAGGGACAGAGGAUGGAGAUCAUUGAGCUUGAAGAUCAUCCAUACUUUGUUGGCGUGCAGUUUCAUCCAGAAUUCUCAUCCAGACCUAUGAAACCUUCUCCUCCUUAUCUUGGGCUAAUGUUGGCUGCCUCUGGAAAGCUAUCUACAUACAUACAGAAUGGCGGCAAGCUAUCUCCCAGAAAGGAUAGCUACAGCGAUGCCAGUGAGGGAAGCUCUUCAGAUAAUUAACUGCAUCCAGUAAAUCAUGUUAAAUAUCAGAUGAAAAGGUCUCUGGAGAUGGAAAAGAAACAGAAUCAUUCGCCAGAACUGAACCUCAGCAGAAAAUACCUUUCCCCAAUUUAAAGGAAAAAGUCUAAGGAAGGCAUCAAAGUAUUGAAAAUCCAAAUAU